ACGACUAGUUUAAAAUUGAAAUAAAUAACCAAUAAUUUCAAAACUGGGAACAAAAUUCAGUCAAUUAAAACUUAUAAAUUGGUGGUCAAAACCUAUGGAGCACCAUAAAAAUAAAAUACUUGUGACCUGUCCACCAACAACAACUCAAUUGAGAAGGUGAUUGAGGCUCAAUUUAAAUGGUGCCGGGAUUUGCUAGUAUUUCUCCCACUCUUCUGCAAUCAUGGAUCUAAAGGAAUGCAAUUCUGCAACUAAAAUUACGCACAGCAAAAUCAGCAUAAUUAGAAUUAAUUCUUGUUUCGUGUACAAUGUCGGGAAAUAAAUAAAGUUUGCCUGAUUAGACAG